ensembl:lncRNA
AGGCAAGGAAAGGCCACAUUUGCGAUGAGAAAACACGUGAUUUUUGCUUAAAUGCGGUAUUUGCAAAGAGAAAACGCGUGAUUGUCGAAUACAUGGGGGAUUUGCAAAUAGAAAAAGCGUGAUUUUGGGUUAAAUGGGGGAUUUGCGAAGAGAAAACGCGUGAUUUUCAGGUUAAAUGGCUGAUUCUCGAAGAGAAAACACGUGAUUUUCGCUUAAGUGGGGAUUUACAAGGAGAAAACGCGUGAUUUUUGCUUAAAUGUGGGAUAUCUGAAGAGAAAACACGUGGUUUUCGGGUUAAAUCGGGGACUCUCGAAGAGAAAACACGUGAUUUUCGGGGUAAAUGGGGGAUUUGCGAAGAGAAAACGCGUGAUUUUCGGGUUAAAUGGGGGAUUUGCAAAGAGAAAACGCGUGAUUUUCGCAUACAUGGGGGAUUUGCAAGUAGAAAAAGCGUGAUUUUUGGGUUAAAUGGGGUAUUUGCAAAGAGAAAACGCGUGAUUUUCGCAUACAUGGGGGAUUUGCAAAUAGAAAAAGCGUGAUUUUUGGGUUAAAUGGGGGAUUUGCGAAGAGAAAAUGCGUGAUUUUCGCAUACUUGGGGGAUUUGCAAAGAGAAAACGCGUGAUUUUCAGGUUAAAUGGCUGAUUCUCGAAGAGAAAACGCAUGAUUUUGGCGUUAAAUGGGGGAUUUGCAAAGACAAAACGCGUGAUUUUCGCUUAAAUGGGGGAUUUGCGAAGAGAAAACGCGUGAUUUUCGGGUUAAAUGGGGGAUUCUCGAUGAGAAGACGCGUGAUUUUUGGUUAAAUGGGGGAUUUGUGAAGAGAAAACGCGUGAUUUUCGGGUUAAAUGGGGGAUUCUCGAAGAGAAAACGCGUGAUUUUCGCUUAAAUGGGGGAUUUGCGAAGAGAAAACGCGUGAUUUUCGCUUAAAUGGGGGAUUCUUGAAGAGAAAACGCGUGAUUUUCGGGUUAAAUGGGGGAUUCUCGAAGAGAAAACGCGUGAUUUUCGGGUUAAAUGGGGGAUUUGCGAAGAGAAAACACGUGAUUUUCGGGUUAAAUGGGGGAUUCCCAAAGAGAAAAUGCGUGAUUUUCGCUUAAAUGGGGGAUUUACAAGGAGAAAACGCGUGAUUUUCGGUUAAAUGGGGGAUUUGCGAAGAGAAAAUGCAUGGUUUUC